rnacentral:lncRNA from 1 species
UUCCGUAGCGUAAUUAUCCUACUACUCCCAGAGGGUGGUGCAGUAGUCAGAAUAAAUUAAUGAAGGAGGACAAAUUCAAUUGUGUAAGGUCUCAAGGCAUAUGUUUUAAAGUCUUGUAAAACAUGAUAAAUCAACCAGCAACCGACACGAAAAGCUUAGGCGAGAAGGAACUCGAACGUUUGGAGUUGAGCGUAAAAUAUGGAAAUGUUUUACUAUCAACGUUUUAUUGAAGUCAUUAGCUGGCCACUUGCAAGGACAUGUUUUUUACAGAACAUCAUCUCUUAUAGAAGACUUAACUCAAGUCUGAUCCCAACUUGACCACCACUGGUUAUGAAAACCUGCAUCCUCGCAGUAAAUCGGUAAGUUCCUUAACAAAUACUAAAAUAUAUUCAGACCUUUGUUUCAUCUGUUAUGGCAUUGUGAGUUAGCAUGACUGCUCUUUAGCUAUCAGUUCAUAACCUUUUCGUUUCC